rnacentral:rRNA from 1 species
GUCGCGUGANGGANGAAGGUCUUAUGGAUUGUAAACUUCUUUUAUAAGGNAAUAAAAAAGAUCACGUGUGNUCUAUUGCAUGUACCUUAUGAAUAAGCAUCGGCUAACUCCGUGCCAGCAGNCNCGUAAA